UACGGAGGGUGCGAGCGUUGUCCGGAAUCAUUGGGCGUAAAGGGCGCGUAGGUGGCCCGGUCAGUCCGUGGUGAAAGCGCGGGGCUCAACCCUGCGUCGGCCAUGGAUACUGCCGCGGCUCGAGCACUGUAGAGGCAGGCGGAAUUCCGGGUGUAGCGGUGGAAUGCGUAGAGAUCCGGAAGAACACCGGUGGCGAAGGCGGCCUGCUGGGCAGUUUGGCUGACACUGACGCUCAGGCACGAAAGCGUGGGGAGCAAACAGG
rnacentral:rRNA from 1 species